AUACGGAGGGUGCAAGCGUUAUCCGGAUUCAUUGGGUUUAAAGGGUACGUAGGCGGAUAAAUAAGUCAGUGGUGAAAUCCCGAAGCUCAACUUCGGAACUGCCAUUGAAACUGUUUAUCUUGAAUUUAGUUGAAGUGGGCGGAAUAUGACAUGUAGCGGUGAAAUGCAUAGAUAUGUCAUGGAACACCAAUAGUGAAGACAGCUCACUAAGCUAAUAUUGACGCUGAUGAACGAAAGCAUGGGUAGCGAACAGGAUUAGAAACCCCGGUAGUCC
rnacentral:rRNA from 1 species